rnacentral:rRNA from 1 species
CCUACGGGCGGCAGCAGUGGGGAAUAUUGCGCAAUGGGCGAAAGCCUGACGCAGCGACGCCGCGUGAGGGAUGAAGGUUUUCGGAUCGUAAACCUCUGUCAGAAGGGAAGAAGUUGCAUGGGGCCAAUCACCUGUGCAUUGACGGUACCUUCAAAGGAAGCACCGGCUAACUCCGUGCCAGCAGCCGCGGUAAUACGGAGGGUGCGAGCGUGAAUCGGAAUUGAUGGGCGUAAAGCGCACGUAGGCUGUAUGUCAAGUCAAGGGUGAAAUCCCACGGCUCAACCGUGGAACUGCCGUUGAAACUGGCAAACUGGAGUAUGAGAGAGGGAUGCGGAAUUCGUGGUGUAGGAGUGAAAUGCGUAGAUAGCAGGAGGAACAUCGGUGGCGAAGGCGGCCGCCUGGCACAAAACUGACGCUGAGGUGCGAAAGCGUGGGUAGCGAACAGGAUUAGAUACCCGAGUAGUC